CCUGCCCCAUUGGUUAGAUAACCUUCUUACGUUAUAGGAAAACCAACUCUGUUUAAAGAAACAAUAUAAAAAGUCUUUCUGUAGACUAAUGACAAUAAUCAUCUCCAAUUCAUUUGGGAAGAAGUUGUCAAUAUUUUCUUUCAAUAUCAAUUCUACAAAUCUGUAUAACUUUUCCUUGUAAUUCAACAAAUUCAUAGAAUUUGGUGGAUCCAUUACCAAGUCCAAGAAAAAUAGCUAUUCGAAAGUGACACAAAAUUGAGCAAAGAGUAGUCAAAAGGUCAGUAGAACAGCAAGAGAAAGAGGACGGCACGAAUAGCAGGAAAACAGAGUACCCAGUUGGUUGGAAAAGGGUAUCCAUUGAUAUUCUUUCUUUGAAGGACAAUUUUAAUCUGCAGAUCAAGUGUUUGAUUUAUUGCUUCACAGAGAAAUAUGAGCAAUAAAGCACCUGUUAAGUUAGAUGAUGAGCAGUUGGCUGAACUGCGAGAAAUUUUCCGAUCGUUCGACAGAAAUGAUGAUGGGAGUCUAACCCAACUCGAGCUUGGCGCGCUAUUGAGGUCUCUUGGUUUAAAACCAAGUCCUGAUCAGCUCGAAACUUUGAUUCAAAAGGCGGAUAAAAACGACAAUGGCCUUGUUGAAUUCUCGGAGUUUGUAUCACUCGUAGCACCGGAACUUCUUCCAGCGAAGUCCCCUUACACAGAGGAACAAUUGAAACAGCUAUUUAAGAUGUUUGAUAGGGAUGGAAAUGGUUAUAUUACGGCUGCAGAAUUGGCUCAUUCUAUGGCGAAGCUUGGACAUGCUUUGACUGCUGAAGAACUUACUGGGAUGAUCAGAGAAGCUGAUACUGAUGGAGAUGGCAGGAUCAGCUAUCAGGAAUUCACUCAGGCGAUUUCUUCGGCUGCUUUCGACAACUCUUGGGCUUGAUAUGUGAAUCUCCUUUCGACCAGCAGAAAAGGAAUAUGAUUGCAACGGUCUAGAUGGUGGCAUAGCAGGCCUCCUGUUCUUAGCAAAAUAGUUGGAAAUGAGCGUUGGUGCCAAAUGAAGAAGUAGAGGAUUUAAGAUGCAGAGUUGGUGUUGUUGUGUGCUUACAUCUUAAUGUAUUGCUUCUAUCUGUGAUGAUGCAACAUUAUCUUAGUUUAGCAUCCGAUAGAACGUUUCUUGCCUAGAGAAGAGAUACUUCUUUUGUCAUUCAUUUUCCUUUAUGAUUUAUUAUUGUACUUUCUUUUUAGAGUAAAUAAUACUGUUUGAGUGAUAAUUUUCAGUUUAUGUUAAGAGUUUUUUCAUA